UCUUUUUGAGAAGCAUAGAUCGCAAUCCAGAGAUAGCGUUUCUGUUCAAGAAUGAGCAACCGUGGCGUGCUCUAGCUUCUACCGGCGACGUCCGCUACUCCCGCCGCCGUGCGUUCAGCUUUGUCCCUCCGUGGAUUCCACGCGCCUGGCGCCUUCGCCUCAGCAUUACCUCCCGCGCCGCCGCUCGCUGGCUUGGCGUGAGAGCUCUGCUCGUCAAGCCUUCGCUGCUUCCUGAUUCUCCCAGGCGCUGCCGCCGCUGGCUGCGGCCAACGUCAAGCGCCUACAGCUUGCCCGCCGAGUGGUGCUCUGCUCUCUCGGCUCCGGCCACCAUCCCCUGGCCAGCCUCACGCAUUUCCACUUGCCAUAUCAUUAUCAUCUCUCUCGCCGGCUAGCAUCUGGGCUGACUGGUGCUGGCAGCUGGUAGCGCUCGAGGUGCUCGACGCUUUGUCCACAACGAGCCUCAUGCCAUUCUCGUAAAGCAAUUCUCUACUCUUGCUAAUGCAAACACUGCGGAGACAUGCCAAGUAUGGAUCUCUUGGAAGAGCAUCACGCAAGAGUGACGUUUUCAGCUAUGGAAUCAUGCUCCUAGAAGUCUUCACUGCAAAGCGACCCACAGAUCCUAUGUUCACCGGAGAGCUGAGCAUUAGGCAGUGGGUGUAUGAUGCAUAUGCGACUGGGCUUGCCUCUGUUCUGGACAACCGGCUGCUGCAAGAUGAAGCACUUUCUAUCCGUGAGCUGAAUGGCACACUUUCAUCGAUAUUUGAGCUGGGUUUGCAAUGCUCAAGUGACUCACCUAACCGAAGGAUGUCAAUGAGAGAAGUGGUGGUAAGAUUGAAGAAGAUCAAGAAGGACUACGCCAAAUCGAUAUCAGCAAACAUGCAGAGUGCAGUGCCGGUUGCAGACUGUGUACAGACUGUGUUUUCAGAAGAUCUCGUUACGGUGUUUGGAGCCUUGGAGGAUGGAGUUAUUGCAGUGCCGGUUGCAGACCGUUCUUUGCUCUACUUAGACAUGGAUAUAUCAUCCAUUAGGUUGUCGAAUGAAUCCUGAUUCAAUUUUGUUUGUGGAAUCCUUGAGCAGAGUACAGAUCUCUCAGAAAGGCAUCGUGCAAGAGCGAUGUGUUCGGUUAAGGAAUCAAUGCUCCUAGAAGUCUUCACUGGAAAGUGACCCACACAUCCUAUCUAAGUAUCUAGGUUCGUUGGGGAGAUGAGCAUCAGGCAGUUGGUUCGUCAAGCAUUGCGAACUGACCUUGUCUCUGUUCUGCCUGCUACAUGAUCGAGUUUCUUUCCGCAAUAUUUGAGGUGGGUUUGUUCUUCUCAAGUAACAGCGGAUAGACGGAAUGCACGCUCGCGGUGGCGCCAUGAUCGGAGCCCUGGUGCAUUCAUCGCGCGGCUGCUCUUUUAUUUGCCCGCCUCGGGGGGCUGCGAUAUUGUUGGAUUGCUAGGGUAGUUAAGAUGAAUGGAGCCUGUUUCUUAUCCCAAGGCUUGAUCCGGCAACGGAGCUUCGAUUCCAAUCAGGAGGUACCCUUGCAUCUAUGCCUCCGGCGUUACCCUCCGUCGAGUUCACUUUCUCGCAGCAGCGUACCCCGGCAAACGGGCCCUCUCUCUCUCUCUCCCGCAGAGAAGCUGCCGCGGCAGCGCCGGCAGUGGCCCAGGUGUUUGGCUCGCCGGUGGCCAGAAGCGAUGAGGCUCCGUGGCGCUUAUGGCUCACGGAGGCGACGCCCGUACCCAGAUGGCGGUGGCGUGGACCAGGGCGGCAACCAAUUUCUGUUCCUCUUCUUCUCAGACUGUUACAGAGUGAGAGCGGGUCUGCUCGUUCGCCGGCGCUGCUCAUCGCCUCGUAUCUCCGGCCAAGCAUUCCAGCAGGAGUUUGCAGGGGGUGCCCGGUGCCCCUCCAUGGAUCAGCUUGCUCGUCUCAGUUACCUGUCUCUCCACUGACCUCAACCUCAAGAGACAAGCCACACGGGCUCAUCAAUCGCUGGUAACCUAGGAAGAUUGGUUUGUCUCAAAUUCCUUCAGAUUUUACCUAUGAUAUUACAUUAUACGUCUCUCUCUUGGUGUGAUAUUGGAUUGUGUACUGUGAAGAAGUGCAGAAUUAACCAGAACUUGAAACUGCUAGUUUUUCUUGGACAUCUCAAGAAGCUUUAUUUUUUCUCUCUUCUGUUUCUCGUUUUGGUUAGGGCCAUUGUGGUGCAAAUGAACAGCCUGACAGUUAGCCUAUUAAUUUGCUUA